rnacentral:misc_RNA from 1 species
CUGAAUUAACGGAGUUUGUUGAUGCUGGCUCUUCGGAGCAUGUGCUCGCAACUUCAAAUUCACCCUUACCACCUGUGCACUUUUGUAGACUACCAUGACUCUCAACGAGCAAUCGUUGGACGGAAGAACUUGCGUCACAAGCUGUUCUUCAAUUUGGUAGUCUAUUACAUCUCCAUAUACAAAGUCUCAGAAUGUCUCUUUGUGGGUCCUUUGACCUAUAAAAACUAAUA